rnacentral:rRNA from 1 species
GCGGAGGAAAAGAAACUAACAAGGAUUCCCCUAGUAACGGCGAGUGAAGCGGGAAGAGCUCAAAUUUGAAAUCUGGUGGCCUCAGGUCAUCCGAGUUGUAAUCUAUAGAAGUGUUUUCCGUGCUGGCUCAUGUACAAGUCCCUUGGAACAGGGCGUCAUAGAGGGUGAGAAUCCCGUCCUUGACAUGAACUACCAGUGCUCUGUGAUACAUUUUCAACGAGUCGAGUUGUUUGGGAAUGCAGCUCAAAAUGGGUGGUAAAUUCCAUCUAAAGCUAAAUAUUGGCGAGAGACCGAUAGCGAACAAGUACCGUGAGGGAAAGAUGAAAAGCACUUUGGAAAGAGAGUUAAACAGUAUGUGAAAUUGUUGAAAGGGAAACGAUUGAAGUCAGUCGUGCUCUUUGGAUUCAGCCGGUUCUGCCGGUGUACUUCCUUUGAGUGGGGUCAACAUCAGUUUUGAUCGCUGGAUAAAGGCUGGAGGAACGUAGUACCCUCGGGUAAACUUAUAGCCUCCUGUCACAUACAGUGGUUGGGACUGAGGAACGCAGCACGCCUUUAUGGCCGGGAUUCGUCCACGUACGUGCUUAGGAUGUUGACAUAAUGGCU